rnacentral:lncRNA from 1 species
CUUUUCUCUGGCUUACCAGCAUGGAGGCAGCCUAUUUUUUCCCGCCUACCUCUCCUUCUAGGUGAAAAAAGAUCCAUAAUGAUCCCCACCAGAUUAUUGAUGACAGAGACCUCUGGAGAUGGGAGUGGAGGUGGUUUCUCUGCUCUCUCAUUUUGCCUGAAGGCCUGUUAUAAGCUAUAGGCCAGAAACUAGGUCUUCUGAAAUUAACAACAGAGAAGAAGAGCCUCCGAGCCCUGGGAGGAAGGACUGUAUCAGAUACUCUAAUUAUUGAUACUGCAAGAAAUACACUCACGGCUGCAGGUUUCCCAGAGAAGCUAAUCUUACCACUGUGGGUGGAGACCUGUCAGACUGUACCUGGGGCAUCGUUCGGAACUUCCAGGACUCCUGUAACCCAGCAGUAGAAGACUUUGUGAAAGCAGACAGCUGAUCCAAG